rnacentral:tRNA from 1 species
GGUAGCGUGGCCGAGCGGUCUAAGGCGCUGGUUUAAGGCACCAGUCUCCUCGGACGCGUGGGUUAGAAUCCCACCGCUGCCA